UACGUAGGGGGCGAGCGUUGUCCGGAUUUAUUGGGCGUAAAGAGCGUGUAGGCGGCCAGGUAGGUCUGCUGUGAAAACUCGAGGCUCAACCUCGAGACGUCGGCGGAAACCAUCUGGCUAGAGUCCGGAAGAGGAGAGUGGAAUUCCUGGUGUAGCGGUGAAAUGCGUAGAGAUGUGGAGGAACACCAGUGGCGAAGGCGACUCUUUGGCCUGUAACUGACGCUGAGGCGCGAAAGCGUGGGGAGCAAACAGG
rnacentral:rRNA from 1 species